AAUUGACCUCGGAUCAGGUAGGGAUACCCGCUGAACUUAA
rnacentral:rRNA from 9 species